rnacentral:rRNA from 1 species
UACGGGGGGAGCAAGCGUUGUUCGGAUUUACUGGGCGUAAAGGGCGCGUAGGCGGCCACCGCAAGUCGACUGUGAAAUCUCCGGGCUUAACCCGGAAAGGUCAGCCGAUACUGCGGGGCUAGAGUGCAGAAGGGGCAACUGGAAUUCUCGGUGUAGCGGUGAAAUGCGUAGAUAUCGAGAGGAACACCUGCGGCGAAGGCGGCUCACUGGACCGGUACUGACGCUGAGGCGCGAAAGCGUGGGGAGCAAACGGG